rnacentral:lncRNA from 1 species
CCAGAACCUACAAUGAGGCAAUGUGAGACAUUGACUCCAAGAAAAAAUAUGAAAUAGCUUUCUUGAGAAUAGAUCUUUUGAAGAUUUCUGUAUGGAAUAGCCUAUGGAUCUCACUUCUUGUGAUAGGAGAUCACAAAGUCUAUAAUAAUCUUAGAGUUGGAACAAGUCAUUUUGAUGUCAUGAUCAAAUUGUUUGAUCAGAAAAGAGAAAUUAUGAUUUCAAAAGGGCC